rnacentral:rRNA from 1 species
ACUGCAUUUUUUCUUACACAUGUGUUUUUCUUUUUUUGAAAACUUUGCUUUGGUAGGCUUUCUAUAUGGGGCCUGCCAGAGAUUAAACUCAACCAAAUUUUAUUUAAUGUCAACCGAUUAUUUAAUAGUCAAAACUUUCAACAACGGAUCUCUUGGUUCUCGCAUCGAUGAAGAACGCAGCGAAAUGCGAUAAGUAAUAUGAAUUGCAGAUAUUCGUGAAUCAUCGAAUCUUUGAACGCACAUUGCGCCCUUUGGUAUUCCAAAGGGCAUGCCUGUUUGAGCGUCAUUUCUCCCUCAAACCCUCGGGUUUGGUGUUGAGCGAUACGCUGGGUUUGCUUGAAAGAAAGGCGGAGUAUAAACUAAUGGAUAGGUUUUUUCCACUCAUUGGUACAAACUCCAAAACUUCUUCCAAAUUCGACCUCAAAUCAGGUAGGACUACCCGCUGAACUUAAGCAUAUCAAUAAGCGGAGG